CACCGCGGUUAAACGAGAGGCCCUAGUUAAUAGUACUACGGCGUAAAGGGUGGUUAAGGAUAACAAGUAAAUAAAGCCAAAUGGCCCUUUGACUGUCAUACGCUUCUAGGUGUCCGAAGCCCAACCACACGAAAGUAGCUUUAACAAAACCAGCCUGACCCCACGAAAGCUGAGAAACAAACUGGGAUUAGAUACCCCACUAUGCUCAGCCAUAAACCUAGAUGUCAUAGUACAAUCAGACAUCCGCCAGGGUACUACGAGCAUCAGCUUGAAACCCAAAGGACCUGACGGUGCCUUAGACCCCCCUAGAGGAGCCUGUUCUAGAACCGAUAACCCCCGUUAAACCUCACCACUUCUAGCCAUCCCAGCCUAUAUACCGCCGUCGCCAGCUUACCCUGUGAAGGCAGCAAAAGUAAGCAAAAUGGGCACAACCCAGAACGUCAGGUCGAGGUGUAGCGUACGAAGUGGGAAGAGAUGGGCUACAUUUUCUAUCAUAGAACACUACGAACAUGCAACAUGAAAUAGUGCUUGAAGGAGGAUUUAGUAGUAAAAAGGAAGCAGAGUGUCCUUUUGAACCCGGCUCUAAGGCGCGUACACACCGCCCGUCACUCUCCCCUGUCAAAAUGCAAUAGAGGUAAUUAACACCAGAGCACUGACAAGGGGAGGCAAGUCGUAACAUGGUAAGUGUACCGGAAGGUGCACUUGGAUUAAACUCAGGGUAUGGCUGAG
rnacentral:rRNA from 1 species